UACAGGGGGUGCGAGCGUUAAUCGGAAUUACUGGGCGUAAAGCGUGCGUAGACGGUUAUUUAAGUCGGGUGUGAAAGCCCCGGGCUCAACCUGGGAAUUGCAUUCGAGACUGAAUAGCUAGGGUACGGUAGAGGGAAGUGGAAUUUCCGGUGUAGCGGUGAAAUGCGUAGAUAUCGGAAGGAACAUCAGUGGCGAAAGCGGGAUCCUGGGCCAGUACUGACGCUGAGGAGCGAAAGCGUGGGGAGCAAACAGG
rnacentral:rRNA from 1 species